rnacentral:sRNA from 1 species
GCUGGGCAUGGUGAUGCAUGCCUAUAAUCCCAGUAGCAUGGGAAGCUGAGGCAGCAGGAUCAUGAGUUCAAAGCCAGCCUCAACAAAAGUGAGGCACUUAGCAAUUCAGUGAGACCCUGUCUCUA